UGGCAGCCUCUCUACUCUCGGACAGCUGUU
rnacentral:piRNA from 1 species